rnacentral:rRNA from 1 species
UAGGGAAUCUUCGGCAAUGGGGGGAACCCUGACCGAGCAACGCCGCGUGAGUGAAGAAGGUUUUCGGAUCGUAAAGCUCUGUUGUUAAGGAAGAACGAGUGUGAGAAUGGAAAGUUCAUGCUGUGACGGUACUUAACCAGAAAGGGACGGCUAACUACGUGCCAGCAGCCGCGGUAAUACGUAGGUCCCGAGCGUUGUCCGGAUUUAUUGGGCGUAAAGCGAGCGCAGGCGGUUAGAAAAGUCUGAAGUGAAAGGCAGUGGCUCAACCAUUGUAGGCUUUGGAAACUGUUUAACUUGAGUGCAGAAGGGGAGAGUGGAAUUCCAUGUGUAGCAGUGAAAUGCGUAGAUAUAUGGAGGAACACCAGUGGCGAAGGCGACUCUCUGGUCUGUAACUGACGCUGAGGCUCGAAAGCGUGGGUAGCAAACAGG